UCAGCCCCAUGAGCCGAUCGCCUCCCCAAAGCCCCACCUAUGAGCGUAGGAGGCUUUGUGGGACAUGUGGAUAGAAACCAGAACAACAACUUAGCAACUCAGGGAGACCUCGUCUCAAAGUAAAAGGGCUUGGGGAUAUAGCUCAGUGCGAAGGCCCUGGGUUCAAUCCCCAGCACCACACAUACGCAGGGACAGCCACUGCUGGCCUCCUACACGUGAGAGUCACCGCUUCUGUGUCUAGUGUCUCCCCAGGACCCCCGAAGCCUGGGACAGUGAAUUCACCUUGUUCUGAACGGCAAGCGCGGCCCGUGGGGUGGAGCCAGCUCAGUCUUGGUGCUCGUGACGCUCACCAUCUCCCCACCGCACCUUACAGACCAGUUACUCGUUGGGAAAGAGCGGGUACGGGGUGCUUGCCGCAUGCCUGGCACCGGCGGCUCCUCUACUCUGCCAGUAACAUUUUGGGUAAAUACUGUCUGCUGCAGGCUGAAUUUUGUGCUCCUGCCCAUUCUUGCCGAGGUCCUGGUCACCAGUAACUUGGGUGUGACCACAGGUGGGCCACAUUCCACGGAGCCCAUCGCGAGCUGAAAGUCACGUAAGCCAAAUACGCACUCAGCAUAGCACUCUCCCAGCAUCUGGCCCGGCCCCACCGGAAACCGCGGUGUGUGCCUGGCUCACUCCAGCGGGCCUCUGGGGCGGCCACUGUCCCCCGCAUUACAAAAGAGAGCACACUGCAGAUCGCUGGACAGGGCAAGAUCACAAGUUGGAAGUAUGGUUUCUCCCGAAUGCUUACCACUGUUUCAGCACUGGAGAAUUGAAAGGUGAUAAGCCAGGGUCUGUCUGUCUAUGGAGCUGAGACUGGGUAGGUGGAUGGGCCUGAUCCAGCCCGAGCGGGUUCCGGGGAGCCGGGAUUCAGACACAGGUGCACACAAAGCAAGGAGCCGGCGCCUGCAGAUGAGGAGAAACCUGCCAGCCUGACCUCGGCCUUGGGCCUCCACACUCCAGAACUGUGAGCAAAGGAGGGUUUGUUGUUUUGCGUUGCCCACUCACACUGCACCAUCCUUAUUCCCUUUCUCCCUCCAGUGGGAAAUGUGAAGUAAGUGACAGUGGUCAGAGAGGGGUGUGGUGCCACACACAUGUAACCGGAGUA